rnacentral:rRNA from 1 species
GACGUAGGGCGCGAGCGUUGUCCGGAUUUAUUGGGCGUAAAGAGCUCGUAGGCGGUUUGUCGCGUCUGCUGUGAAAACCCGAGGCUCAACCUCGGGCCUGCAGUGGGUACGGGCAGACUAGAGUGCGGUAGGGGAGAUUGGAAUUCCUGGUGUAGCGGUGGAAUGCGCAGAUAUCAGGAGGAACACCAAUAGCGAAGACAGCUCGCUGGGACGUUACUGACACUAAGGCGCGAAAAGCGUGGGGGAGCGAACAGG